CCUUGGUCCUUUGUGUCCUUGGAAGUUUGGGAUGAAGGUUAGAGCAAAGCCUAGCUGAACGGGACUGACUUUUUUUCUGUGACAGCUUGCACUAGGCCCUAAAUCCCCCUCUAAGUGGAUUUGAGCCUGUCUUUCAGGUGGAAAAUAACCUGUCUUGUAUCCAGCAUGCAGACUACAAGCAGAACCCAGCUCAGGAGAUUCUGGGAGAAUAAGUUAGAAAAAUCAAAGGCAGAAGACUGAAGAGUUGCAAAUAAGUGCUAUCAUGACAAGGAUCCUGGACCUACAGCUCUGAAAAUGAAGACUUUCCAUUAUACAAUAAUUUCUUAGUUGGUGUGAACACCUGUAGCUGCGUGCAGAACAAACUUCCUUGUUGAUGUGACUGAACCCACAAAGAAAUCUUUCCUUUCCCAGUGAAGAUGAUAUUCCUUCUCUCCUUUAUUCUUGGUAUUGCACCCUUUGCCUCCAUCUGAAACUUGGGUUGACAGGGACUAAAGAUUCUCCACUGAUGGGAUGAAGAACUUGUCCCUCUUUCUGAGGAAAGUAGCUGUGCUCUAGACCCACUCUGUCACCACCAUCAAAUGAACAAACUCCAAGUGCUCUGCUGACAAGGCACAUGAAGAAUGUUAUUUCUAAAUCAAGAAGGAUGUUCCCCACUACAAUAAAUACUGCAGAAACUGCCAGAUAAGAAUGUUUUGUGUAGUAACCUGCAGGGCCUGCAUGACAACUUAAAUGACAGUCAUUAGCUUUUGAGGAGUUGUAAUGUAAAUGAAUGAUUUAAGGACAGUCUGGGAUAAAGUCCUUCCCAAGGCUGCAGUCUGUGAAGGCUCAGGCUGUUCAUGAGAUCACACAUGGAUUGCCUCUUCUGUUUCAGAGCCCUGUUUUGUGCACUGCAUUGUUCUGGCACAAUGGGCUGGAAUUGCAUCUUUUAGCCAUGAAUCCUGUAAAAGCCUGAGGAUUUAGAGAAAGAACUGCCCUUGCAUCUUCUCUCAGCUUAGUACAGGGUAAGACCAAUGCCAUCACAUUUGUUCUGGAAAAGCACAACUGGGUCAUAAAAAGAGUAGUUUCCUGUUGGGUCACAGUUUUAGUGCAACCAUGGCCUCAGCAUGUGGUACACUUCUGUGUGCACACUGUAUUGUUUCUGUGUCUGCACCAAAUUGUAAUAACUGUGAAGAAAAUAGAUUGCAAUAAAGCAACCAGGGAGACAGCAGAUGGAUGCAGACAGAUGGGAACAAGCCAGGAAGCUAGGAGCCAGGAUUGGUCACAAUGAGAAGCAAUAGUCACAGUACACUAUCAGCAUAAUGUCAGUGAUAGUUACUGGUGAGUUUUAAGGGUGUAUUGGAAGGCAAGAAAGAAAAUAAUGUUAUAGAUGCUCCUGACACUCCUUUGCAAGGGUAUGGGAAAAAACAGGACAAAGGUGUUUCUUUGAGAAGGUGACAGGCUGCACGUGGCAGCUGGCAUUCUGUCCACUGGUGCAGGUGAAGAGAAGUCUUACCUGUCUACCCAAAACCAGUAAUGUGAUGAAGAAUAUGAACAAGGAAAUUGAGCCCAUUGUCUUCAGGUCCUUCAGUAUUCCUGGCCUAUAAAAUAAAAACAUAAGUAAAGCAGGCUGCUCAAAAGUUAAACAAAUAUUACUUCAAGCACAAAAAUAAGACCACAAUUUAUAUGCACUACUUUUGGUACAUAAACUAAGAACAUUUAAAUAUGAUUCAAUGUCUUAUUUUAUAAAAUAGCAUUAUAUUAUGUAGAUUUAAUUACCUCUACAAUAUUCUCUGCAAAUGUGCCUACAUUUUGAAGUCCAAUAAUAAGAUGAGGAUUUAGGAAAAAUAAUGUCCUUUUUUACUUGCAAAUGGAGAGAAUUUGUGGCUUAUUCCAUACAAGUAGAAUAAAAACAGAUUUUUAAUACAAUAACACUAUUUCCAUUGUGGAGAGCAUAUCCAAUGAAUAUGCAGAAAAAGAAAGUAAAAGCACCUAUCUCCCAAAAUACCUUUUCUCCUGAGGAGGCACAAACUAGAUCUUGUAAAGAGUUUAUUAAAAACUCUGCUUUGGCAGAAGUCACUAAAGGCAAUGGAAAACAGUUCACACUAGAACCCUCCUACUGAUGCCUCUGAAACAAGAACCUUAGUAAGAGAUUUAGGAAGGAAAAUACCAAGAGACGCAGAGCUUGGCUGACAAAAUCAAAGCUGCCAGAAGCACAAGCUCAAUCUAUCCUGUCCCCUGGUUCUCCAUACCAUCACACACAUAUUCUUUCCAUUAAUAAAAUGGAAACAAAGACUUGGGUUUGUUCAUUCCAUCUUUAGAUCUAAGUGCAAAGAAAACAUACACUUUUUUUUCUCCCCAAAUUUUCAAAUGAAAUCCUUUUCCAUGAUUGUUACAGCACAGGAAAAAUGAUAUUGAAACUACAAUCUGAAUAUCCAGAUUUUCUGGAGUGGCAUAUGCCUUACCCUUGGCCUACACAGAAGAGAAUCACCUCUUUGUUUUAAAAAUGAGGUAGAAAUUACAGCUGUCCAAAAAUUAUUUUACACAGCAAUAACACAAACUGGAGUCAUAAUUUUGGUCUUACAUAUUAUCAGCUGUAACAAAGAUUUCAGCAGUCUCACUAAAAACUUUAGAUACAAAUGCACAGGCACAGCAAAAUAAAAAAAAUAUCAAUACUGUUGGUCUACUAAUUUGUUCAAUCACUAAGACUUUAUUUGUAAGCAUUUCAGACUAUAUACUAGUUUUGGGGAAGCUGAUUUUCUUCAGCUUGUAGCAAAUAUGCCCUAGAAGCCUUAAUGAUGUGCAGCCUGAGGCCUUAACAAACCUGGUGAUGAUUUCUUGUAGUGUCCUUUGUGACAAAAAUGCAAAUUAAACCAUACUCUGUUUCCUAUAGUGUGUGAUUUAAAUGCCUUGUCCAGACUUCUUUUAUUCUAAUGCUCUGAGGUGUGACAUUAAAUCAAAUAUUAGCUGCAGCAUGACAAUGAUUUUACAUUGUGACUCAGAUUACACAGCCAAACUCGUGUGUUCCAUGACAUAAGAGCUACCAAUGGUAGUAUUGAACUUCAGAAAGACUGGAGUUAGCCACCUACCUUCUAAGAGGUGCCAUUGCAUACAUAAAUUUGCUGUAGUCAUCCAGCAUGGGCCCAUGAGUGUGCAGAAGGAUAACAUUGUAGCCCACCAAUGCAAUCAACAUUAUUACCAUUUUCAACUCAUAAUUUAUCCUCAGGAAAACAGAACAGGAAAUGAGCCCUAAUAUGCAGCUGUAUAUAAAAUACUGGCAAAGAGAAAUCAAAUGGAAAAUAUUUAGAAUUUGGCUCUUGAGUAGGAAAUCAUGCAUAAUAAAAUGCUUGGGCUACUUUAAAAAACAAAUCAUUGAUUGACCACUGAAGUGUGCAAUAUAUCACAAUCUGGGACAUUGUGGUUUAUAGACAGCCAAUAAAAAUAAAUUUAUGCUCCUUAAUUUUCACCCUUUGACACUUCUGAUUUACUCAUCUACAUUUGUGGGAUACCACUACUGGUGUUGAAAUCUAAUGCAGGAGUCUGUUGCCAGCAGACUGACAUAAGAUUUACUCCUGUUCCACUGUAAAAUUUUCAUUCAUGCUUGAGUCCCAGGAUUACCCUGUAUGUCUUGCUAGCAUUUGGGUCAAGGUAAAAUGUCUAAAGGCCUGAAGCAACAAUUUCACUGCCUAUAUUUGCAGCUGGUAUAAACUGAUGCAGUACACAGUCAUGAAUCUCAGAGAUAUGCAAUUUUAUAAACAGCUAGGAUAGGAAAAAAACAAAGCUAUUAACAGGGCCUAUGCAUAAUAUAAAUAUUAAAGAUCCUUCUCUCAAAUCCUGUGGAAUAAUAACCGUAUAAGAACACAUUCAGUCGCUAAAAAAAAAAAAAAGCCUUUUGUUUCCUAUGUCAUACAUAUCAACAAAAAUAUGUAUAGUUGAAGUUAAAUUCCUGGAAAAACAUUUUCUUCUAAUACUUCCUGGAAACUGAUUACGGCAUCAAAAUUAAUGCUAAAACAGGAAUCAUCUCUAGAAUCAUUAUCUUAGUCUUUAAUAUGCAACCCCUUUGCCAGAAAUGCUUCCUGAAAAUUACAGUCCUGCACCUUGCAAGGAGGUUUCUUUUCUUAAACUACAAAGCAUUCUAUUUCUAGUCAUGCUAUUUUAAGACUACUGUUGACUUGUUGAUGGCAGCACUUUUGACAGACCCUGAAUCACUGUAUACUAAUUCUGGAGGAUCACUAAGAAGGAUAAUUUUCACAGCACCCAUCAGACAGAAUUUAUCUGCCAUCUCAAUCUUUGCUGCUACUGUAAUUUGCUCAAAGAUCUGGUUGAAAUAAGAAAUCGACAGAACUAUUGUUCAGAAUCACCAAAACAUAGAACUUCUCUGAUAGCUGCAUUUCAGAGGAGGUCACAGUCCAAAUUCAUGGUUACAUAAAAAUAGCAGCAUCCUUUUUUUUGAGUCAGUAAGGAGUGCUAGUGUUGAAAUCAGUUUUCCAAAAAGAAACAAGGAGAGGCAGUCUUGAACCCACAACUGAAUACUGUUUGACAAAGACCCAGAAAUUUUCAAGUGGAACAGUCUCUGACAGUGUUCCAUAUGAGUACAUAGAAUAGAUUGAAAAUUUCAGACAGGGGUGGAUGAAUUAGAGAAGAGUGGCACAGCCACACAUUUUAGAAUGCAGACCUUGCAUUGCAGUGCAGUGUUUCAGUAAGCAACAAGCAGAUCUGGAGAGUCUGGCAAUCCAUAAAGCAGUGAAGCUGAGCAGGUGCAGGCCCCUGGUCUGCUUAGGGCAUCCCCCAGCCCCAGGAUAACCUCAGCCAGCUCAGCCAACUCGCCACAACCCAGGAGCCUGCAGGCAGCUCCCACCUGGCACCAGCAUGAUGCCACCUCUGCAGCCUUGGCUUUCACCAACAGUGCAACAGCAAGUUCUCUUGGAGGCCCUUUUGUCUGACAGCUGAAGCAGUGAAUGUAAAUGUUCUCUUUUAAGAAAGUACUCCAACAGCUCAAAAGAGGAAAAUCCUGGGUAACCUCUCCACAGACAAAAUCUGCACCUCAUGCUGUAUGAAUCAGGAUUCUCAGCAUCUGAAGGGGCAUAAGUCCAUCUGUUCUCUUUUUCUUUCUUGUGCUAGCUAAUAAAGGUAUUUUAACCAACA